GGAGGCUUUUAUCCGGUGCCGCAGCACACCGGCCUCGACUCCGUGGAGGCCGUGGAGCGGCGACGGCAGACAGCUUGUCCCCGGCUGAGGGUUCUUCUGCUGAUUCUCAGCCAUCACGGCCUCAAGCCGGACCUCGAGCUUUCCCCCCCGACUGCGGCGCAUCACGGAGCCACUGGUCGGACAAGCGCCCGCGUCGCUAUCAGGUCCGCCUGCUCAGUCGGCGGUGGAUCAUGGCUGAUGGCGAAAAUCCGACGUUCCCCACUUAUAUGUGAACGUAAUGCAGUAAGAAAAGGAGGAAGGGAAAGAAAGGCAGGCAGGCAGACUGAGCUCGCGACUCACAGUCGCACAGCACGCCCGCUACCGCUCGCGGGGGAGGCGCAGGCGCACUGCUCGCUGCGCGCACCGAAGCUGCGGAAACGCCGCAAACUGCACGGGGAGCCUCUGCGCUCCCGGCCAGCCGCUAGGAAGGAGAGACGGCGCUGCUUUUCUGUUCGAUCCGAUACCACGUGUACCAGGGUUGGUAUCCUGAUAUUCAGACGUCUCUUUUGCAUGCAUUAAAUAAAUCAGUGUAUUUUAUAUAGUAGGCUAUAUAUAUAAGCUUACAUGUAUUAUGAGGUAUCCUAACAACCGAAACGAAUCAUGCAACUUCAUACACCACGACUCGAUUCCAAAUCCAGUCCUCGCUGUCAUUUCUCCCAGACAGUUAGUUUAGUAAUUACUGAUUCUGAUUGGCAGCAGAGGCUUCACACCUGGCUCACAGGUAAAGGAAGGCUGGGAAAUCAGCAGGACCGUGAAGACCGUGAUUUGAAUAGCCUUGUCAUACACUAAUGACGUAGGCACGCAGUACAGGUAGCAGUAGAACGUUCUUGUUCAGUAGCUUAAAUAAAAAUAUAAAACUAUGAUUUACAUUAUUUUUGUUGUUAUAACAUCAUUUACAAAACGUUCAACAAUUUGUAAAAACCGCCCUUCCCGCUACAGACCUGCACUUGAAUUUUUACAGCAUGCUAGAUGCCGGUGUAACCCCCCCCCCCCCCCCAAGAGUGCUCCCUAUGUGUUUUUUUAUUCAUUCAGGGGGUUUUAUUUUCAGUCCUGGUUCCUAUGCUCACCAACUAUUAUGCCUUAGAAAAAUUCCGUGCGGUGGAUAUGGAUGAAGCAACAAUUCCAAAGAAUUUGAAUACAGGUCUUUGGGAUGGGAAUGAUGGUUCGUGCUCUUGCCAGUAAUGGGUCCUUGUCCUCUGAGUCAUAGCGAGUAUGUUGCUGCCUGCCGAACAGUGUUGUUGGGUUGACUUCACAUCAGUGUCAAAUCUGCACCCAGCCCUCUUUUUGCUGCUGCUGUAGAAAAAUUUGUGACACGUGCAGGACCUGGCGGUGAGCUUGACACUGGUGCUCAGACAGGCUACUGGUGAAGUAGGAGCUGACUCCCCCAACUCAGAAGCUUGCCACCUGUCAGCGAGGAGUCAUUUUUCUCUUCGUUUCAACAUCAUCUUUGCCAUGAACUGCAAGGUUUUUAAACCUUAUGUCCAAGAAGGAGCUGACAGCUACACUAUGAACGUGGGUGCUAUUGAAAUUGACCACAUUGGCUGUCACCAUGUGUACUCUUGUUGUGAGCUUCAUUAAAAAGAGAUUUUCUGUUCCAA